AUGGAAUUGGAAUUUUUUCUCUAUAGAUGUUGUUUGAUUCAUAUGAAUGCAAUCCUUAGGAAUCAUUCCUAUGGAACUUUCCCUUUUCUAUUUGGUAGGAAAUUUUGCAUGAAUUCUAAGCUCUUGGAAAAUUCCUAUGCUUCCAUCAAACACACACUUGCUCCAAUUCCUUUGUCUUGCAAUUUCAUUGGAUUCAGAUGGGCAGGGCAUAUUAAUCCUCCAUUUUUCCUAUCCUCUGAAUUAAAGGAGCCCUUAGUCAGUAAGAUAGUGAAUGCAGCUGCUCAGCUAGUAGUAGUCAAUUUGCCUUUUGCAUGUACUAGCAACUGCUAG
rnacentral:rRNA from 1 species